rnacentral:rRNA from 1 species
CCUACGGGUGGCAGCAGUGGGGAAUAUUGCACAAUGGGGGAAACCCUGAUGCAGCGACGCCGCGUGAGUGAAGAAGUAUUUCGGUAUGUAAAGCUCUAUCAGCAGGGAAGAAGAAAGACGGUACCUGACUAAGAAGCCCCGGCUAACUACGUGCCAGCAGCCGCGGUAAUACGUAGGGGGCAAGCGUUAUCCGGAUUUACUGGGUGUAAAGGGAGCGUAGACGGCGGAGAAAGUCUGAAGUGAAAGCCCGGGGCUCAACCGUGGGAUUGCUUUGGAAACUUUUUAGCUAGAGUACUGGAGAGGUAAGUGGAAUUCCUAGUGUAGCGGUGAAAUGCGUAGAUAUUAGGAGGAACACCAGUGGCGAAGGCGGCUUACUGGACGGUAACUGACGUUGAGGCUCGAAAGCGUGGGGAGCAAACAGGAUUAGAUACCCUAGUAGUC